rnacentral:rRNA from 1 species
AUUGAACGCUGGCGGCCGGCCUAACACAUGCAAGUCGAGCGAGCGGCGGACGGGUGAGUAAUGUAUGGGGAUCUGCCUGAUGGAGGGGGAUAACUACUGGAAACGGUAGCUAAUACCGCAUACCAUACGAUGAACCCAUAUGGGAUUAGCUAGUCGGUGAGGUAACGGCUUACCUAGGCGACGAUCCCUAGCUGGUCGGAGAGGAUGAUGAGCCACACGGGUACUGAGAGACGGCCCAGACGCCGAGGGGAGGCAGCAGUGGGGAAUAUUGCACAAUGGGCGGAAGCCUGAUGCAGCCAUGCCGCGUGUAGGAAGAAGGCCUUCGGGUUGUAAAGUACUUUCAGUCGGGAGGCGUUAUCGACAGAAGAAGCACCGGCUAACUCCGUGCCAGCAGCCGCGGUAAUUC